rnacentral:piRNA from 1 species
UGGAAAAGUGGGAACGACCCAAAUUC